rnacentral:rRNA from 1 species
AACGAACGCUGGCGGCGUGCUUAACACAUGCAAGUCGAACGAGAAAGUUUCCUUCGGGAAACAAGUAGAGUGGCGCACGGGUGAGUAACGCGUAGGUAAUCUACCCUUAUAUCUGGGAUAACAUUGGGAAACUGGUGCUAAUACCGGAUACACUUUUCUGCUGCGGAGCAGAAGAGGAAAGGUGGCCUCUUGGUCAAAGCUACCGUAUAGGGAUGAGCCUGCGUACCAUUAGCUAGUAGGUGGGGUAACGGCCCACCUAGGCCACGAUGGUUAGCGGGUCUGAGAGGAUGAUCCGCCACACUGGAACUGGAACACGGACCAGACUCCUACGGGAGGCAGCAGUGAGGAAUAUUGCGCAAUGGGGGAAACCCUGACGCAGCGACGCCGCGUGAGUGAGGAAGGUCUUCGGAUCGUAAAGCUCUGUCAGAAGGGAAGAAGUGUUAGAUGGUUAAUACCCAUUUAAUUUGACGGUACCUUCAGAGGAAGCACCGGCUAACUCCGUG